rnacentral:snoRNA from 1 species
UUAAAUGAUGAAAAAAUAAUUUACACAGACCUGAUCUGAACGAGCAUUUUGCUUAAUUGUAGAUAACGAUUAUUGCCUUUUUUUUCUGAAU